GGGGAAGGCAUUCGCCCACUGGCUUGUCCGGUGGGAGGAAAGUCCGGACACCGUAGAGCAGGAUUCCCGGUGAAAGCCGGGGCGGGAGUGAUUCCGACGGAUAGUGUCACAGAAAGCAAACCGCCCACCGACCGGUGGGUAAGGGUGAAAGGGUGGGGUAAGGGCCCACCGCACCUGCGAGCAAUCGGGGUGGCAGGACAAACCCAAUCCGGUGCAAGGCGAAAUAGGGAGCCGGGUUGCUCGCCCGAUGGCUCCGGGUACGCCGCACCUCCGCAAGGGGGAGUGUCCCAUUGGGAUGCUAGAUAAAUGAAUGUCACGGCCACCGGCCGAACAGAAUCCGGCUUACCCCACCC
rnacentral:RNase_P_RNA from 1 species